AGAGCGAGGGUCCCUGGGAUCGUCAGGUCAGGCCUUGGGCUAACGUAGGCACUCGCAGUUCCUCCGCCUUCAGGAAGGUCUUUUUAGCAGGGGCCUUACGGGUGCGCGCUUCGGUCCUGGAGGCCUUAUCCUAGCCUCCUCUCUCCAUCAGCGCCACCCGUCUGGGGCCCAAAAGGAGGGAGCUUUACCUCUGUCCCCCAGCCUUUGGAGUGUCACCAAACAAGCCAUUCGUUCACCAAAUACUUAUUAAGUGCCUGACAACGGAGAUGUAACGGUGAGAAAAACUCGGUGUUGUCCAGGCCCUCCAGGGGCUCAGGGGCUCGUGGAAGAAGUGGACAUUGAAGUAUUUAUCACACAAAUGAGUGUAAAAGUACAAUAGCAUAUCUGCCACGAAGGUGAGCAGACAGAGCUAGCGGGGCUUGCAGGAGGAGUUUUGAUCUUGCGGGGACAGGAAGGAGGAGUUAGCUCCUGCGGGGUGGGAUUGGGGGUUGUGGUGAUAUAGACGUGGGGACAGAGUGGAAAACAACAAAAAUAUAAUUAUUUUAGUUCAAAGUUAUUGUGUCUUGAGUUGAAAGGCAGGGCAGUUAGCAACACAGUUCAGAUUUCAGUACUGUCCCUGAAAUCUGAACUGUGUUCAAAGUCUAAAACGUUUACCUUAGCAAAUUCCUCAUAAAACUCCAUUUGGAAGAGUCCCGAGAGCUAAUUUGUUAAGUAUACUUGCAGAAGGUAGAUGAGGAGACAGAUUAAAUCUUAUUACCUCUUUCAGAUGAGAGGCACUUGAGCCCUGCUCAGCUAUGAGAAUAAGAGGGGGAAUUAAUUCUAAUUGAAUACACUUGUUCUCUUAUAGCUGUUGUUCCCCACCAGAACCAAAUGAGCGCAAGAUCUGACAAAGAAAAAAAAAGGUUCAUCUUUUAUUCCCCCAUACCCUUUCAUUUAAAUCAAGAGGAUGAGAUGUGGUUAUUGCUGUGUUUUUAGGCAGAAUCAACGGUUUCUGGGUCUGAGAUGUUGCAUACACCCUCUCAGUCCCUGUAGCCUGAGAUGGAGUCACGUGAGAAUCCACAGCAAGUCCUAACCAGGGAUGGGUCUGGGUGAUUAAGGAAGGUUGGCUUCAGAACUGGGCCAGGGGCACUGCUUUGCUUUUGCUGUUUUGAUCAGCUCUCUGCCUGCAGGAGACAAGGAAAAUCAAUGGGAACAGGUUAGUUAUACUCAGAAAUCCUGGGCUUAUUUUAUUAACUCACAUAAUAGCUAUUAAUUGUCUUUCCUCCAAGGAGCAAAAGGGCAUAUACGGUCAAUGCCAUAGUAAAUAACACUGUAUUAUGUUAUACUAAAAUAUUAAUCUAGGUUGGUUCAGUCUUUCCUGAUUCCAUAGAUUGGAAACGGAUUGAAGAAGGACGCUAGUGGACCACAGAGCUGAGCCAUGCACACAGAAGAAAUCUUUUUUUCUUUUUUUUUUGGAGAUGGAGUUUUGCUCUCUUGUUGCCCAGGCUGGAGUGCAAUGGCGCGAUCUCGGCUCACUGCAACCUCCACCUCCCAGGUUCAAGCGAUUCUCCUGCCUCAGCCUCCUGAGUAGCUGGGAUUACAGGCGAGAGCCACUAUGCCGGGCCAUUUUUGUAUUUUUAGUAGAGACGGGGUUUGAACACGUUGGCCAGGCUGGUCUCAAAUUCCUGACCUCAGGUGAUUCACCCACCUCUGCCUCCCAAAUUGCUGGGAUUACAGGCGUGAGCCACCACGCCUGGCCAGAAGAAAUCUUUAUCUUGGUGUGCAGUCUCUGGUGAGGGACAAAUGUCAUCUCUCUUGGAUCUGAAUCUGGAAGGAUCAAGGCACUGAAGGGAUUUUUUUGUUUCAGGCAGUCUCCCUCUGUUGCCAGGCUGGAGUGCAGUGGCCCAAUCUCGGCUCACUGCAACCUCUGCCUCCCGGGCUCAAGCAAUUCUCCUGCGUCAGCCUCUCGAGUAGCUGGGAGUACAGGCACGCGUCACCACGCCCAGCUAAUUUUUGUAUUUUUAGUAGAGACUGGGUUUUACCAUGUUGGCCAGGAUGGUCUCAAUCUCUUGACAUCAUGAUCCACCUGCCUUGGCCUCCCAAAGGGCUGGGAUUACAGGAGUGAGCCACCAUGCCUGGCCUCACUGAAGGGAUUUUUUUAAUGUCACGUGGCUCUCACAGGUGCGGUGUGUUCAGUUGCAAGUAAAGAUUACGAAUGAUGCUUAAAAACAAACGUAAAAUUCCAGGUGAUGUUGCUAUGGGGAGCAGCAUUAGGACAAUCUGAGUGGUUUCAGUUGCAAGAGUGUGCGUGUACGUGCAAGAACUACAGUCAAGAUUCAACUUCUGGCUUUGAGGGUCUCUUUAAUAACAGUAAUAGCAACCUAAGUCAGUUUAACAGUAUGGAAUGGUUGCCUUUUAGAAGUUAAGCUAUGGGCAUGGAAGUUCAAUCAGUACAUUGAAGUUUUUCCUUUAUCUCUCCUAUGGUUAAUGGUUUCUGCAGAAAAGGACCAAUUAAUUUCUUUCUAAAACGUUGCUUCAGGGUGUAGAGUCCUUUAUAGGUCAUGUGUCAACUUACAGAAAAUUUUUAUAGUUCAAAUAUAAAUUACGUUCAAUGUAGACUUUGUAAUAGAAUUUAAGGUUAAGUAAAGUUUCCACUUUCCUUAGGCUGUUUGCAGUGCCCAGCAGGCCCCAUCAUAUCGAGAUGGAAGUUAUGUUAAAGGAGGAGGUUGGCCAGGGUUGGGCAGAAUAAGGACUAUGGGCAGCUCAGGCUAAUGAUACAAUGAUUGAGAUGUAGAAAGAGGGCCAGGCAUGGGAUAACGCCUGUAAUCCCAGUGCUUUGGGAGGCCAAGGCAAGAGGAUCGCUUGAGGUCAGACCAGCAUGGUCAACAGAGUGAGACCUAACCUGUAGAAAAAAAAAAAAACACAAAAAAACAAAAAAAUUAGUUGGGCAUGAUGGUGUGCUCCUGUAGUCUCAGCCACUUGGAAGGCUGAGGUCAGGGGAUCCCUUGAGCCCAGGAGUUUGAGGCUGCAGUGAGCUAUAAUCACAUAACUGUACUCCAGCCUGGGUGACAGGGUGAGGCCCUGACUCAAAAAAAAAUUGAGUCAGGGAAAAAAUUGGAAAUCUUAAUCCUCGGUACCCAGGAAUGUGACCUUAUUUGGAAAUAUGGUCUUUCUAGAUGUAAUCAAGUAACGAUGAGUCAUCCUGGAUUGGGGGCUGCUGGUGAGGGGGCAGAUGCAAUGACUGGUGUCCUUAUAAAAGAAGAGAAUGAGGGCUGGGCAUGGUGGCUCAUGCCUGUAAUCUCAGCACACUUUGGGAGGGUGAGGUGGGGGGAUCACUUGAAGUCAGGAGUUCGAGACCAGCCUGGCCAAUAAUAACAAUAAAAAAGCCAUUUUAGAUUCCAAUCCACUGAAAGAAAACUGUCCCUUAGUUAAUGUCAUGCUUAUUGGAUCCAUGAAGUCUUUGCAAAUUUAAACUACAAGGACACUGCUCUCUGUGGUGGUGGAGAGAAUACCAAGGAUUUAAAGGUCUUUAAGAAAGAGAAUGUAGAAAUCGUACCCAUUGGAAACAGCAAGAUGAUGAUAAUCGUACUGACAGUAAUAAUAAGCUCAAAUAUAUAGAGCUUACUAUGUAUCAUGAAUUGUUCUGAAUGCUUCAUAAAUAUACGUUCCCUCCUUUACCCUCAUGGCAGCCCAGUAAAGGCGCCAUUCCCCAUUUUACAGCUGGGGAAACUGAGUUACAGAGCUUUUCUGCACUGAGUCAUCAGGAGCAAAUGCUAGAUCAGGUAAUUGAACCCAAGCAAUCUGGUUCCAGAGCCAAAGAGAUGUAUUUUUUAUGGUAUAAAAACAUAUACAUACAUUUUUAGGGGAAGGGUGGGGGUAGGAUGGGAUGAGGAUUCUGGGUAAUUGCUUGGUAAAUGCCAAAUACCUUUCUUGUCUGUCCCUCUUUUCAAAUGAUAAAGUAAUGUCAAUUGCAGCACUUUUUUUUUUUUUUUGAGACAAGUUCUAGCUGGAGUACAGUGAUGCAGUCAUAGCCCACUGCAGCCUGAAAUUCCUGGGCUCAAGCGAUCCACCCACAUCAGCUUCCCAAGUAGUUGGGACUACAGGCCCACACUAGUAUGCCCAGCUAAUUAUUUUAAUUUUUGUAGAGAUGGCAGGUGGCGGUGUGGGGGUGUCUCUCUAUGUUGCCCAGGCUGGUCUCGAACUCUUGACCUCAAGUGAACCUCCUGCCUCAGCCCCACAAAGCUCUGGAAUUAUAGGUGUGAGCCACUGUGGCUGGCUACAACACUAUUUAUUUAUAUUUUGGACCAACAGAUAUUCUAGCAUAUAAGAAAUGUGAUGCUCUCUGUACAUUGAAGAGUUGGUCUAAUAUUUGUCCUGGUCGAUACAGAAAUUGCCUGUUUGCUCCACUCUGGUUGAAGAAACCAGUCUGACUGUCUCUGAGGCUAUGGAGCAGUCCAUCAAGAAUGAAAGCCCUCUGCCAGGCACGUUGGCUCACACCUGUAAUACCAGCACUUUGGGAGGCCGAGGCAGGUGGAUCACUUGAGGUCAGGAGUUCGACACCAGCAUGGCCAACAUGGUGAAACCCUGUCUCUACAGAAAAUAAUACUUUGCAAGGCCUCAGAAACUCUGCUAUCCACAGGCAGGUCUUACAGUCAUGGCUGGCUCCUCUCUCUGAGAACUGGGACUCCUGAACUUGGUGAAAUACCUCAGCCAUCGAUCAUGUUAAAUUAUCGGGGACACUCAUUAAAAAUGUGAGUCUGCUCCAGAUGGACUCUCUCUCUUUCUGCCCUGACCGUGAGGGAGACCGUGAGAGAGAGAGACCGUGAGAGAGAGAAACCGUGAGAGAGACCAUCAGAGAGAGAAAGAGAGACCGUGCCCUGACCUGCUGGACAGUGGAGAUGCUUGUGGGCUGUGAGCAACAGAUGCAAGGGCUGCCGGGAAUCCCAUCUUUCCAGCAUCAUCUGCCAAGGCACAUCAGUUCCUGGGUGUCUUGAUGGGUUCUGGCAGCAUUACUGUCAUUGAAGGAAAACAUUUUAGCCAUAUUAAAGGUGAACUCAGCAAUCCCCACACAGCCUGCCUGGAAGGGACGCGGGACAAGGGUAGGUUCUCCCUGUGAUGGACAGGAGGCAGGCGACCCUCCCACAGCCCUACCUGGCAAUGCAGAUGUGUCCCCAAAAGGCACUGGGGGCAGCUGGAGUGCUGUGCCUAGGCGGGCUCACCCGGGCAGCGGUUCGCUCUGAUUGCAGUGGUUUCCCACCAGCUCCUUGGAGAGCUGGCAGAUGACCCAGCCCCACAGCAGGAGCCGGGAAUGGCAGAACGAGAUACAACAAUUUGAUAUCCACUUGCCAGAUGAGCCGGGUGUCCUCAGUCGCCUGGCUCUGUGCCCAACCUCUUUUUACAUAAACACUUAUGAAUUGAGCCAGGAGGAAAAGCACUCUGAUUAUGAAUUGAGCAGAAGGAAACAAAGUUCUGCAGAUAAACACCAAUGAAACAAAAAACCACGAAUAAGAAAAAUGACAGAAAAGGAGAACCUUCCCAGAAGCCUCCUGCCAGUGAACGGUCACCAGAGCAAGAGCAUGGAGGCCCUGGGUUUUGAACUGUGAGAUAAGGAAGAUGAUGAAAACCUCCCUAGCAGCCAGGCAAGCACAAGAUUCCUGUGAAAUCCAGGUCUAAGUGUUUUGACAACAGAAGUAAUAUUAUGUCAUAGGUGAGAGCUGUGAGUUGCUGAACCCAAAGUGAGUUCAAAUCCGAGCUCUGCCUCCUGCUACCUGUGUGACUUUGAGAAGUUCCAGCACUGCUUUGUGCCUCAGUUUUGUCAUCUGUUAAAUGGGCGUAAUCACAGCUCCUGCCUCAGAGUUGUUGUAAAUUAAUACAUGUAAAGCACUGAAAUCAGCCUGGUAUAUAGUAAGUGUUAUGAACGUUAUUUUCUUGGAAGGACAGAACUUAUUUUCAUGGUCUAAUCCUGAAAGUCUAAAAAAUGUGAGAGAAGAGGAAAGAAUCUAGAGUCUCACCAUGAGGGGGAAAAGUCAACUUGAAGCAGGACAGGGUCAUUGACAAUUUCCUGUGAUUCCACAGCUGCCUUGUACACUAUGGUAGCUCCUAGCCACUCGUUGUUUAGAUUUUGUGAUUUAGAAAUGAAUUAAGGCCGGGCAUGGUGGCACACCUGUAAUCCCAGCAUUUUGGGAAGCCAAGUUGGGCAGAUCACCUGAGGUCAGGCGUUCAAGAUCAGCCUGGCCAACAUGGUGAAAUCUCGUCUCUACAAAAAUACAAAAAUUAGCCGGGCAUGAUGGUGGGUUCUUGUAAUCCUGGCUACUCAGGAGGCUGAAGCAGGAGAAUUGCUUGAACCUGGGAGAUGGAGGUUGUAGUGAGACGAGAUUGCACCACUGCAUUCCAGCCUGGAGGAGAGAGUGAGACUCUGUCUCAAAAAAAAAUUUAGUUAAGAGAAAAUUGAAAAUUCAGUUCUUCAUUCUCACCAGCCACAUUUCAAGGGCUCAUCAGCCCAUGUGGAUGUCUAGCAGCUCCCAUGUUGGAUAGUGCAGAGUAGAGCAAGUCCGCCAUUGCAGAAUGUUUGAUUGGACCAUGACUGAAUAGUCUAUUGCAGUGGUCCCCAAUUUUUUUUAGCACCAAGGACCAGUUUCCAUGUAUUUGUGGGGGGAAGUUUCAGGAUGAUUCAAGUGCAUUACAUUUAUUGUGUACUUUGUUUCUAUUGUUAUUAACAUUAUAAUAUAUAAUGAAAUCAUUAUACAACUCACCAUAAUGUAGAAUCAGUGGGAGCCCUGCGCUUGUUUUCCUGCAGCUAGAUAACCCCUUCUCCAGGUGGUGGGAGACAGUGACAGAUCAUCAGGCAUUAGAUUCUCAUAAGGAGCACACAACCUAGAUCCCUUCCACAGGCAGUUCACAAUAGGGUUGGUGCUCCUAUCAGAAUCUAAUGCCGCUGCUGAUCUAACAAGAGGCAGAGCUCAGGCGGUAAUGCUAGCCAUGGGGAGCAGCUGUAAAUACAGAUGAAGCUUCACUCACUAGCCCACUGCUCACCUCCUUCUGUGCAGCCCAGUUCCUAACAGGCCACAGACCACUACUGGUCUGUGGUCUGGGGGAUGGGGACCUCUGGUCUAUUGGAUAACACUGGCUUGGAGGGUACUGAUCAUCCAAAGAAGCGCUGAGAUGAUUUGGCCUCCAUUAAUAAGAAUGAUGGACUUUUUUUUUUUUUUGAGACAGAGUUUUGCUCUUGUUGCCCAUGCUGGAGUGCAGUGGCACAAUUUCGGCUCACUGCAACCUCUGCCUCCCAGGUUCAAGAGAUUCUCAUGCCUCAGCCUCCCAAGUAGCUGGGAUUACAGGUGCCUGCCACCAUGCCUGGCUAAUUUUUGUAUUUUUAGUAGAGUCGGGGUUUUGCCAUGUUGACCAGGCUGGUCUUGAAUUCCUGACCUCAAGUGAUCCACCUGCCUCGGUCUCCCGAAGUGCUGGGAUUACAGGCGUGAGACACCGUGCCUGGCCAGAUGGACUUUUUUUGAACAUUUAGUUCCAAGCACCUUCCCUGCAUUUUCUCAGUUAAUCCUCCCAGUGACUCUGAAGCAGGGACUAUGACAAUCUUCAUUUCACAGAUGGGGCAACUCAGGCACAGAGAGGAAGUCAAUGGCCACGGUCGCCCAGCUGAGGAAGGAUGGAGCCGGCUGAGAUCCUGUUCUGGGGAUCUAACUCUGCAGCCUGCAUUCUGGGCUGCUGUAUUCUCCCAUGUUGCUAUCUGACGAGCACAGCAUGGGCUCAGAGUACAGAGAGGAGACACCAGCUAAUAAGGAUAGGUCUGGGGUGAAGGCUGGUGCCUUGGGGAAGAAGAGAGAUGCCCCAUUCUAAAGGGAUGCCGUUGGAAGCUCAUAGUGAUAAAGCAAAGCCAACAGGUUUUGGGGCUGGGAGUUAAGCACACAGCUCUGGUUUCUGCCUUUUCACAGUGGUGAUGAAUGGGCACUGAGACCCUCUCAAGCUAAAGUUGUCAUCACUGCUCUUCAUAGUCUGAAGGUGCAUGAAAUGGUCAACUUUCUUCCAAAGGGCUUUUAUGCCUAAGUCUGAGGUUAGUGUAUAAACAGAUAUUUACUGAAGUCCUGCUGGGUGCAGACACCGUGGCCAGCCCUGAGGCUACAGUCGAGAUGAAGCCAGUCUCUGUCCUCAUGAAGACCUGUCUAUUGAUAAGAAAAGAGAAAGCUCACUGAGCAUUGACCCUGUGCCCACUGCUUUUGGUGCAUCUCUCAUUUAAUCCUUCUAUCAAAUCUGUGAAAUAAACACAUCACCAUCAUCCCUAUUUCACAUUUAGGGAAACAUAUGCUUAGAGAGGGUAAGUAACUUGGUCAAGGUCACACAGCUUCGAACUCUCCUCCCACAGGCGCAGGAAUGAGAUGCAGCAGCUGGGGAAGCCAGGGUCUCUGGCAGUCCUUGUCUCUGGGCAGUGAUCCAGAGAGAGAACACGAUUGUCUCAGCACUGGAUCUUCUUCUGAGUCGUUUUGAAGGAGCAAUUGCAGAGCGUCUCGGUGUUAAACAUCAUGUUGUGAAUGACUCCGUGAUCUCUGACCCAGUGUCCUUGGGGAUAAAGGAGGGGAG
rnacentral:lncRNA from 1 species